UCGUGAUCGUGAUCGUGGUCAUGAUCAUGAUCAUGAUUGUGGUCAUGCUCAUGGUCGUGAUCAUGGUCAUGGUCGUGG
rnacentral:pre_miRNA from 1 species